AUUGAACGCUGGCGGCAGGCCUAACACAUGCAAGUCGAGCGAGCGGCGGACGGGUGAGUAAUGUAUGGGGACUGCCAGAUAGAGGGGGAUAAAUACUGGAAACGGUGACUAAUACCGUCUACUAUCGGCUAAGCCUUAUGGGAAUAGCUAGUGGGUGGGGUAAAGGCGAACCAAGGCGACGAUCGCGAGCUGGGCUGAGAGGAUGAUCAGCCACACUGGAACGUAGACACGGGCCAGACUCCGACGGAGGCAGCGGUGGGGAAUAUUGCAAGAUGGGCGCAGGCCUGAGGCAGCCAUGCCGCGUGUAUGAAGAAGUCCUUAGGGGUGUAAAGUACUUUCAGCGGGGAGGCGUUACCCGCAGAAGAAGCACCGGCUAACUCCGUGCCAGCAGCCGCGGUAAUAC
rnacentral:rRNA from 1 species